UACGUAGGGGGCAAGCGUUGUCCGGAUUUAUUGGGCGUAAAGAGCGUGUAGGCGGCCUGACAGGUCUGCUGUGAAAACUCGAGGCUCAACCUCGAGAUGUCGGCGGAAACCGUCUGGCUAGAGUCCGGAAGAGGAGAGUGGAAUUCCUGGUGUAGCGGUGAAAUGCGCAGAUAUCAGGAAGAACACCUAUGGCGAAGGCAGCUCUCUGGGACGGUACUGACACUGAGACGCGAAAGCGUGGGGAGCGAACAGG
rnacentral:rRNA from 1 species